GCCUACGGCCAUACCACCCUGAGAACGCCCGAUCCCGUCUGAUCUCGGAAGCUAAGCAAGCUAAGCGGGGUCGGGCCCGGUUAGUACUUGGAUGGGAGACCGCCUGGGAAUACCGGGUGCUGUAGCCU
rnacentral:rRNA from 1 species